rnacentral:rRNA from 13 species
AUCUCAGAUUAAGUAAGACUACCCGCUGAAUUUAAGCAUAUAAUUAAGCGGAGGAAAAGAAACUAACAAGGAUUCCCCUAGUAACGGCGAGUGAAGCGGGAAGAGCUCAAGAUGGGAAUCGUUCAUUAUUUUAAUAUUUUAACGAAUUGUAAUCUUGUGAUAUAGUAUCAAGUAAGAUAAUUAAUUUAAGUUGUUUGGAAUGACACGCCAUAGAAGGUGAUAGCCCUGUUAUUGAUU